rnacentral:lncRNA from 10 species
GUAUGAGGGAUCUUCAAAAAGUUCAUGGAAAAAUGAAAUUAAACAAAAAAUAAGAAAUAUCAACUUUAUUUUUCAAUCUAAGCUCCAUCACGUUCAAGACACUUUUGUAAGCAAUGACACCGACAUUUCGUCCAUCCCUAAAGAAGUGAGGAUCCUGGGAAUUUAACCACAUCAAUGCAGCCUUUUUUACACUAUUAACUGAAGAAAAAUGGAUGCCCUUUACAGAUUUUUUAAAUUAGGGGGAAAAAAAAGUUGCAGCCAAAUCAGGACUAUAAGGUGGAUGCCUAUUUAACAUCGAAACUCUCAAACUUGCCCUUGUUUGAUGAGAGCACUGAGCAGGAGCAUUGUUGUUGUAGAGGACUCUCUCAUGAAGUUUCCCAGGCAUUUUUCUGCUAAAGCUUUGACUUUCUCAAAACACUCUCAUAAUGAGCAAGACAUUAUUGUUCUUUGGCCCUCCAGAAUAUUCCGAAGCAAAAUGCCUUGAGUAUCCCAAAACACCGUUGCCACGACCUUUGCUCUUGACCAGUCCAUUUUUGCUUCGAUUGGGCCCUUUCCACCUCUCAGUAGCCAUUGCUUUGAUUGUGUUUUGUAUUUAGGAUCAUACUGCUGUAAUCCCAAGCCAUCUCUAAGUAUGUUCAUUCUGGAGUCCAGACAUUCUGAAAACCAAAUGGAAGAAAAGGAGCCAAGGUGACUAAGAAGGAUCAGCCAGAAAGGAAUGAGGAAAAGCAGGAGUGCCCAGAACCUCAAAAGCUGAGAGAAAGUGAACUUCAAAGAACAGAAGUGCAUCUGGGUAGAUAUCCUAAAGACUUGAAAUCAGUAUGUGGAAGAGGCAUCUGCAUUGCUAUGUUCAUUGCAGCAUUAUUCACAAUAACCCAGAUGUUGAAUCAACCUAAGUGUCUAUCCAUAGAUGAAUGAAUGAAGGAAAUAUGAUCUGUAUACAUAAUGAAAUACUAUUCAGCCAUAAAAAAGAGUGAAAUCCUGUCAGUUGCAUCAUGGAACUGAAGGACAUAAUGGAAUACUAUUUAGCCUGAAAACAGAAUUCAUACUCCAAGCCCCACAAUACGCAAUAUACCUUUGUAACAAGCCUGUACAUGUACCCCUGAUUCUAAAAUAAAACCUGAAUAAGAAGAAGAAAAUCCUGUCAUUUUUUGACAACAUGACUAAAUGGCUGAACCUGGAGGACAUUUUGAUAAGUGAAAUAAGCGAAUCACAGAAAGACAAAAGCCAUGUUUUCACUUAUACGUGGAAUUUGAAACAAACUCAUAAUAGCAG